AGGACGAACGCUGGCGGCGUGCUUAACACAUGCAAGUCGAACGAGGUUAUAGGAGAGCUUGCUCGAAUAUAACCGAGUGGCGGACGGGUGAGUAACGCGUGAGCAACCUGUCUCACACAGGGGAAUAACGCAUCGAAAGAUGUGCUAAUACCGCAUAGGACCACGGUUUCGCAUGGGACUGAGGUGAAAGGAGCAAUCCGGUGUGAGGUGGGCUCGCGUCUGAUUAGAUAGUUGGUGAGGUAACGGCCCACCAAGUCAACGAUCAGUAGCCGACCUGAGAGGGUGAUCGGCCACAUUGGGACUGAGACACGGCCCAGACUCCUACGGGAGGCAGCAGUGGGGAAUAUUGGGCAAUGGGCGCAAAGCCUGACCCAGCAACGCCGCGUGAAGGAAGAAGGUUUUCGGAUCGUAAACUUCUGUCCUUGGUGAAGAGAAGUAGACGGUAGCCAAGGAGGAAGCCCCGGCUAACUACGUGCCAGCCGCAGC
rnacentral:rRNA from 1 species